rnacentral:rRNA from 1 species
AUUGAACGCUGGCGGCAUGCCUUACACAUGCAAGUCGAACGGCAGCACGGGAGCAAUCCUGGUGGCGAGUGGCGAACGGGUGAGUAAAGCAUCGGAACGUGCCCAGUCGUGGGGGAUAACGUAGCGAAAGCUACGCUAAUACUGCAUACGAUCUGUGGACGAAAGCGGGGGACCGUAAGGCCUCGCGCGAUUGGAGCGGCCGAUGUCAGAUUAGGUAGUUGGCGAGGUAAAGGCUCACCAAGCCGACGAUCUGUAGCUGGUCUGAGAGGACGACCAGCCACACUGGGACUGAGACACGGCCCAGACUCCUACGGGAGGCAGCAGUGGGGAAUUUUGGACAAUGGGCGCAAGCCUGAUCCAGCAAUGCCGCGUGCAGGAUGAAGGCCUUCGGGUUGUAAACUGCUUUUGUACGGAGCGAAACGGCUUCCACUAAUACUGGGGGCUAAUGACGGUACCGUAAGAAUAAGCACCGGCUAACUACGUGCCAGCAGCCGCCGUAAUAC